rnacentral:rRNA from 2 species
GAUGAACGCUGGCGGCGUGCCUAACACAUGCAAGUCGAACGAACCUAAUCUUCGGAAAGGGUUAGUGGCGCACGGGUGAGUAACACGUAGGUGACCUGCCCCGAAGUGGGGGAUAACUUCUCGAAAGAGAAGCUAAUACCGCAUAUGCUCAGCCAUUCAGUUGGUUGAGUAAAGCUCCGGCGCUUCGGGAGGGGCCUGCGUCCGAUUAGCUAGUUGGUGGGGUAAUGGCCUACCAAGGCAAUGAUCGGUAGCUGGUCUGAGAGGACGAUCAGCCACACUGGCACUGACACACGGGCCAGACUCCUACGGGAGGCAGCAGUGAGGAAUAUUGGUCAAUGGGCGAAAGCCUGAACCAGCAACGCCGCGUGAGGGAUGAAGGCCUUCGGGUCGUAAACCUCUUUUCUGGGAGAAGAGACAAGGACGGUAUCCCAGGAAUAAGUCUCGGCUAACUACGUG